rnacentral:lncRNA from 1 species
GCCCUUUCGGGUAGGGAUAAGGCUCGUCUACAUAUUACCCUCCCCAGAUCCCACCUGGUGGGAGUAUACUGAGUAGUUGUUGUUGUUGUUGUUAACCCCAGUAUUAUUUGAUAGCCUUGGAGCAAUCUGAGUGUUGGUAAAUAUAGCUGAUUUGGAAAUUCUAUAAAUUUAGCAUGAAAAGUUGUUGAAUUGGCUUGAGUUUCCUCUCUCUAAUCAAACUCUAAUGUUACCAAGUUACUUUGAUGAAGUUUAUUUACUGCU